GCUGGGCAUGGUGGCUCAUGCCUGUAAUCCCAGCACUUUGGGAGGCUGAGGCAGGUGGAUUGCUUGAGCCCAGGAGUUUGAGACCAGCCUGGGCAACACGGCAAAACCCUGUCUCUC
ensembl:misc_RNA Metazoa_SRP Metazoan signal recognition particle RNA